UCCUCCUGGGGAAAAAAGGGGGGGAUCUUAGGACCUCACGCUAUCAAAUGAGCCUAGGUCGGAUUAGCUUGGUGGGGGGGUAAAGGCCUACCAAGGCAACAAUCCUUAACUGGUCUGAAAGGAUAAUCACUCUCACUGGAACUGACACACGGUCCUCACUCCUAAGGGAGGCAGCGGUGGGAUAUAUUGAACAAUGGGCGAAAGCCUGAUCCAGCCCGGCCGCGUGUGUGAAGAAGGUCUUCGGAUUGUAAAUUCUUUAAGUUGAGAGGAAGGGCAUUAAUUUAAUACCUUGUUGUUUUUACCUUACCAACAAAAAAAGCCCCGGUUUAUUUCUUGCCACCCGCCGCGGUUAAACGAAGGGUGCAAGCUUUUAAUUAAAUAUUACUUGGCCUAAAGCACGCGUAUGUUGUUCUUCAAAUUUUGAAUGUUUAACCCCCC
rnacentral:rRNA from 1 species